rnacentral:rRNA from 1 species
GACGAACGCUGGCGGCGUGCUUAACACAUGCAAGUCGAACGGGGUCCAACCAGUGGCAACACUGGCGAAGACCUAGUGGCGAACGGGUGAGUAACACGUGAGAAACCCACCCCGGACUCAGGAAUAACAGUGGGAAACCAUUGCUAAUACCGGAUACCUUCAUUGAAUCGCAUGGCUCAGUGAAGAAAGGGUUACCGGUCCGGGAGGGUCUCGCGGCCUAUCAGCUUGUUGGUGGGGUAACGGCCUACCAAGGCGUCGACGGGUAGCUGGUCUGAGAGGAUGAUCAGCCACACUGGGACUGAGACACGGCCCAGACUCCUACGGGAGGCAGCAGUGGGGAAUCUUGCGCAAUGGGCGAAAGCCUGACGCAGCAACGCCGCGUGCGGGAUGAAGGCCCUCGGGUUGUAAACCGCUUUCAGCAGGAACGAAUCUGACGGUACCUGCAGAAGAAGGCCCGGCCAACUACGUGCCAGCCGCCGCAGUAAAAC